GAGGGGGGUCGUCGCCGAGGAGGGGCUCGUGGGCCUGUACCGUGGCAUUGGCCCCAGGGUGCUGCACAGCGCCUGCUUUGCGGCCAUAGGCUACUGCGCCUUCGAGACCGCAAGGCUUGCCAUUCUGCAGCUCUACCUUGAAGGCUGCCAGAGGAAGGCUGCAGCACAGCACAGCACAGCUCUACCGUGACAUGCUGCUGCCACUUGAUGAGUAUGCCCUGUUUUCCUUCAUUCCUUCCUUGAGGGAAGUUAUCAUUAUAACUGUUGCUGGUUCUCAGCCUGCUAGAUUGCUAGUUUUGGGGGUGUCAAGUUUUGUUUCCCUU
rnacentral:lncRNA from 1 species